rnacentral:rRNA from 1 species
UACGUAGGGUGCGAGCGUUAAUCGGAAUUACUGGGCGUAAAGCGUGCGCAGGCGGCUUCGCAAGUCAGACGUGAAAUCCCCGGGCUUAACCUGGGAAUAGCGUUUGAAACUACGGAGCUGGAGUGUGGCAGAGGGAGGUAGAAUUCCACGUGUAGCGGUGAAAUGCGUAGAUAUGUGGAGGAAUACCGAUGGCGAAGGCAGCCUCCUGGGCCAACACUGACGCUCAUGCACGAAAGCGUGGGGAGCAAACAGG